GACCCAGUGGCGCACGGCGUGCGCCCACUUGCCAUAGCUUUUGGUGCAUGGAUUGCACGUGGGAGCACCUGGUUCGACUCCAGGCUGGGUCA